rnacentral:tRNA from 1 species
GGAGAGGUCGCCUAGAGGCCUAUGGCAGAAGUCUUGAAAACUUCCAGGGGAAACCCUCGUGGGUUCGAAUCCCACCCUCUCCG